rnacentral:rRNA from 1 species
UUCGAUGCAACGCGAAGACCUUACUGGUCUUGACAUCCCGGAGACCCUUAGGAACUAGGGGUGCUUCCAUCUGGAAGAAUCUGGAGACAGUGCUGCAUGGCUGUCGUCAGCUCGUGUCGUGAGAUGUUGGGUUAAGUCCCGCAACGAGCGCAACCCUUGCCUUUAGUUGCCAGCAGUUCGGCUGGGCACUCUAAAGGGACUGCCGGUGUUAAACCGGAGGAAGUGGGGAUGACGUCAAGUCCUCAUGGCCUUUAUGACCAGGGCUACACACGUACUACAAUGGCCGAUACAAAGGGCAGCGACACUGCGAGGUGAAGCCAAUCCCGUAAAAUCGGUCUCAGUCCGGAUUGGAGUCUGCAACUCGACUCCAUGAAGUUGGAAUCGCUAGUAAUCGUGGAUCAGCAUGCCACGGUGAAUACGUUCCCGGGCCUU